rnacentral:rRNA from 1 species
UUCCGGUUGAUCCCGCCGGACCCCACUGCUACCGGGAUAGGACUAAGACAUGCUAGUCAAGCGCUUUCUAGCUAAUGUGAGAGCGCGGCGUACAGCUCAGUAACACGUGGCCAACCUGCCCUUGGGACGGGAACACCCCCGGGAAACUGGGGUUAAUUCCCGAUAGGUGAAGAAGUCUGGAAUGAAUCUUCGCUCAAAAGACGUUUAUGUCAUGCUCAUAUUCGUCGCCCAGGGAUGGGGCCGCGACCGAUCAGGUAGUUGGUGAGGCAAUGGCUCACCAAGCCUUUUACCGGUGCGGGCCGUGAGGGCGGGAGCCCGGAGAUGGGCACUGAGACAAGGGCCCAGGCCCCACGGGGCGCAGCAGUCGCGAAAACUUUGCAAUACACGAAAGUGUGACAGGGCUAUCCCGAGUGCCAUCCGCUGAGGAAGGCUUUUACCCAGUAUAAAUAGCUGGGAGAAUAAGGAGAGGGCAAGUCUGGUGUCAGCCGCCGCGGUAAUACCAGCUCUCCGAGUAGUGUGGACGUUUAUUGGGCCUAAAGCAUCCGUAGCUUGCUAGAUAAGUCCUCUGUUAAAUCCACCGAUUCAAUCGUUGGAUUGCGGGGGAUACUGUUUGGCUAGGGGACGGGAGAGGUCGACGGUAUUUCCGGGGUAGGGGUGAAAUCCUAUAAUCCCGGGAAGACCACCAGUGGCGAAGGCUGUCGACUAGAACGCGCCCGACGGUGAGGGAUGAAAGC